UGGUGGCGACCGGCGCACGGGUGAGUAACGCGUAUGCAACCUACCUAUCAGAGGGGAAUAACCCGGCGAAAGUCGGACUAAUACCGCAUAAAACAGGGACACCGCAUGGUGAUAUUUGUUAAAGAAAUUCGCUGAUAGAUGGGCAUGCGUUCCAUUAGGUAGUUGGUGAGGUAACGGCUCACCAAGCCGACGAUGGAUAGGGGAACUGAGAGGUUGGUCCCCCACACUGGUACUGAGACACGGGCCAGACUCCUACGGGAGGCAGCAGUGAGGAAUAUUGGUCAAUGGGCGAGAGCCUGAACCAGCCAAGUCGCGUGAAGGAAGAAGGAUCUAUGGUUCGUAAACUUCUUUUGCAGGGGAAUAAAGUGCAGGACGUGUCCUGUUUUGUAUGUACCCUGAGAAUAAGGAUCGGCUAACUCCGUGCCAGCAGCCGCGGUAAUACGGAGGAUCCGAGCGUUAUCCGGAUUUAUUGGGUUUAAAGGGUGCGUAGGUGGUUUGAUAAGUCAGCGGUGAAAGUUUGCAGCUUAACUGUAAAAAUGCCGUUGAAACUGUCGGACUUGAGUGUAAAUGAGGUAGGCGGAAUGCGUGGUGUAGCGGUGAAAUGCUUAGAUAUCACGAAGAACUCCGAUUG
rnacentral:rRNA from 1 species